CUCACAUUGCGUGGAACCUGACAAAGUCUCUAGCCUUUUCUGGAAACAGGGUCUUACAUGCGCCAGGCUGGCAUCAAAAUCACUGUGGAGCCGAGAUCGACCUUGUACUUCUGAUCCUACUGCCUCCACCUUCCAAUUGCCGGGACUGGCGUGUUACCACCAAUGAUGAGAACAGAACCAAGAGCUGACGAAAGUGAGCAAGCGCUUGGCCAGCUGAGCUGGACCCACGAGCACAAGUCUCUAGACUUUGACUAUCACUAUUCUGGAAGAUAAGAGGGACCAGAACGUGGCACCUGGGAGCAUAAGGAUGCAGCCUGCUGAACUAUCCAGACUCAGAAUGUGGGAACUUCUGCCGGACAACAGCUCCUUCCAUACGUGAACUGUAUGGAAAACAAGGGCUGGGAAGGAGGAGAGGGGAAAUCACCAGGGCCUCCUGGCCAGUCAGGAGAGCCUACUGUGCAAGUUUCCGAUCAGCAUGGGACCUGGUCUCUAAAAGCAAGAUCCUACUGCGCCAGAGGAACCACACCCAAGGCAUGCACGUGACUGUGGACGCCAGAGGAGACCAGCAGAGCUGGAGUUGAGCAGUGGCAGGCAGUUGUGAGUCACCCAGUGUGGGUGGUGGGACCCGAUCUCGGUCCUCCGCAAGAGCAGCAAGCACCAUUAGCUUCAAGCUCUCCCUCCAGCCUUCAAGCCUCUUCUUAGAUGUAGGGGUCUCCAAACCAGAGUUCCAGACAGAGCUCCCUGCACGGACGGCGGACGGCAGGGCCUGUGCACUGCGCCGCCGAGCUGCUAGCCCAUGUGUGGCGUGGAACACAUGAUGAAGAGGAUGCACUUCUUACUCUGAUUCUUUUAAACGGAAGGAGCUCUAUUUGCGCAGCACCGCUCUCUCACUGCUAGUAGGUUCCGUCUGUGCUAAGAAGCAAACGGCACUGCAGGAGCAUAGCCACUGGCAGCCAUGCUUGUCCGCACGCUGCAGACCCUGCACUGGUCCCCAGUGUUGAUUGGGAGGAGGAGCGGACAGCAGCGUCCGUGUCACGACCCCUGCCUUCCAAGUCUUUCUUGGAUCCUGGCCCCUUAGUUACUUGGGAUGCUGCAGAAUACACAUAUCAGAAAGUCACUUUGGUCCAGGAAGCAGAAACAACCAAGGGCAUGAAGCUAGCUCCACCUCUGGAGUAAACGAUACAUUUACACAUUAUGGACACCCAUUUUGCCCUUUUCUGUCCUGAGUCUGCCUCAUUUGGUACAUUUGGCAAACUGGCUGACUACUUUUCCACCCCACAGCAGCGAGCACGGCCACAAAAAGUUCCUGCGAUUUGAUUUCCUCCACUCAACAUACCAGCUGGGCCGAGGCUGCGUUUGUCGGUGUUCGUGCCAAACACGUCUGGCGAGGUGCCAAUCGCCCUAGGGUGGCUGGCCUAGGUGUGCAGCCUUGCUCUGGAUCCCUGUGACUGAGGACAGGUCAGCCUUAGCUGUAUGAACAGCUGUAUGAGCAGUGUGGCUCAAGAGGAAAACGAACCAGAUAAGAAGUGGGGCUUGGGUAGAGAAGCCCAUGGGAGGUGACCACAGUGCUCACCCUGUCACUUGGUGACCUGGUCCUUUACUGAGUUGUAUAGUGUGUCUCUCCAGCCUCCUUUGAUGGAAGUUUCCUUAUCUUGUGUUCCAUUACACAGGGCUCUGCUGCUAGGUGACUAAUUAAUCUGAUAUAGGCAGCAAACGACAGCGAAGACUCUGAACAUCAGUUUCCUCACUGAGCAAGUGAGGACAAAAUGGCCUACCUUGAGCCAGGUGUGGUGACACGUACCUUUAAUCCCAGCACUUGGGAGGCAGGUUUCUGUCAUUUCAAGCUCUACAGAACAAGUUCAGGGACAGCUAAGGUUAUUACACAGAGAAACCGUGCCUCCGAAAAUGAAAAAAUAAAAACAAAAAAGGCCAGCCUAGAAAUGGGGGGUUGGAGACUAGUAAUAAAAAUUAAUGUCAAUAAUACUUAUUUCCUUCUAAUAAACACAUUUUUCAGUUUAGUCUAUGUAUAUCAAUAAAACUGACUUGUCUUCUGGGCCAUUUGACAUGUGUCAGAAUGCAGUGAGACAGAGACUCUUAGUGGCCUUCAAAUCAUAGAGCUCUAUAUCCUUUCAAAUGUUAAUGUGAUUAUGUGAACGGAUGGUGUGUGUGUGGAUGUGUGAGCCACAGCACACAUGAAAAGUCAGAGAACAGCCUGUGAAGCUGGUCCCCCUUCGAUCUUACAUGGGUUCCAGGUAUCAGACUCAGGUCAAUGGGCAUGCAUGGCAAGUGUCUUUAUCCCCUGAGUCAUCAUGUCAACUCUGUAUUAUUUUUAAAAAUAUCACCAAAUCCAUCCUGCCUAUAAUUUAGAUUUGAAAAGAAAGAAUAAACCAUUCUCAUAUUCAAGGGUAAUAAUCUAUCGAACUGCAGAGACCACAGAGAUCUACGGGGACCCACGGAGACCCACGGAGACCCACAGAGCCCACAGAGAUCCACAGUCAAAUAUGGGAGUGCCAAAUUCAGGGAAUCCUGAAGAAGAGAGGGAGGAAGGACUCCGUAGGAGCCAAAGGAGUCAAGAACAUCACAAGAAAACCCACAGAAUCAACUAAUCUGGCUCACAGAGUCUGAACCAACAACCAGGGAGCUUGCCUGGGGCUGAUCUAGGUCCUUAACAUGUAUGUGACAGAUGUGGUCUACUUGCUGUCCCUGAUGCUUUGGCUGGCUUUGGGGACCCUAUUCCUCACACUGGAUAGCCUUGUCUCCUUAAUAUAAGGGGAGGAGCUUAGUCUUACUGCAACUUGAUAUGCCAUGCUUUGUUGAUGUCCAUGGGAGGCCUGGCCCUUUCUGAACAGAAGCAGAGGAGUGGAUUAUGGGGGAAGAAUGUGAGGAGAGGGGGGAAACUGCGGCCAGGAUGUAAAAUAAA